rnacentral:lncRNA from 1 species
AUGAGCCAAACAUCGAAGAUUAUGUAGACGACUUUGGAAACAAACAGGCCGGAUUAGAAUUUGUCCAGACUGAACCAUAAAAGGAGCUCACUAAUCCAAGUAACCAAAACCCUAGGUUUUAUGUGGUUCGGUGUACCCUCGCCCAAACAAAGACCGAACAAGAUUGGCGUAGGACCUCCCUAUUCUACACUCUCGUUAAGAUCAAUAGAAAAAUUUGUAAAAUUCUUUUUGAUAGCGGGAGUUGUAUCAACGCCAUCACCUCAGAAGUCGUUUCCCG